rnacentral:rRNA from 1 species
AUUGAACGCUGGCGGCAUGCCUUACACAUGCAAGUCGAACGGCAGCACGGGAGCAAUCCUGGUGGCGAGUGGCGAACGGGUGAGUAAUAUAUCGGAACGUGCCCAGUCGUGGGGAUAACGUAGCGAAAGCUACGCUAAUACCGCAUACGAUCUAUGGAUGAAAGCGGGGGAUCGCAAGACCUCGCGCGAUUGGAGCGGCCGAUAUCAGAUUAGGUAGUUGGUGAGGUAAAGGCUCGCCAAGCCGACGAUCUGUAGCUGGUCUGAGAGGACGACCAGCCACACUGGGACUGAGACACGGCCCAGACUCCUACGGGAGGCAGCAGUGGGGAAUUUUUGGACAAUGGGCGGCAAGCCUGAUCCAGCAAUGCCGCGUGCAGGAUGAAGGCCU